CAUGCAAGUCGAGGGGCAGCAUGUUGGUUGCUUGCAACCAACGAUGGCGACCGGCGCACGGGUGAGUAACGCGUAUCCAACCUACCCUUGUCCAUCGGAUAACCCGUCGAAAGGCGGCCUAACACGAUAUGCGGUUCACAGCAGGCAUCUAACGUGAACGAAAUGUGAAGGAGAAGGAUGGGGAUGCGUCUGAUUAGCUUGUUGGCGGGGUAACGGCCCACCAAGGCUACGAUCAGUAGGGGUUCUGAGAGGAAGGUCCCCCACAUUGGAACUGAGACACGGUCCAAACUCCUACGGGAGGCAGCAGUGAGGAAUAUUGGUCAAUGGACGAGAGUCUGAACCAGCCAAGUAGCGUGCAGGAAGACGGCCCUAUGGGUUGUAAACUGCUUUUAUAGGGGGAUAAAGUGUGCCACGUGUGGCAUAUUGCAGGUACCCUAUGAAUAAGGACCGGCUAAUUCCGUGCCAGCAGCCGCGGUAAUACGGAAGGUCCAGGCGUUAUCCGGAUUUAUUGGGUUUAAAGGGAGCGUAGGCCGUUUGGUAAGCGUGUUGUGAAAUGUCGGGGCUCAACCUGGGCAUUGCAGCGCGAACUGCCAGACUUGAGUGCGCAGGAAGUAGGCGGAAUUCGUCGUGUAGCGGUGAAAUGCUUAGAUAUGACGAAGAACUCCGAUUGCGAAGGCAGCCUGCUGUAGCGCAACUGACGCUGAAGCUCGAAAGCGUGGGUAUCGAACAGGAUUAGAUACCCUGGUAGUCCACGCGGUAAACGAUGGAUGCUCGCUGUUUGCGUCUGACGUAAGCGGCCAAGCGAAAGCGUUAAGCAUCCCACCUGGGGAGUACGCCGGCAACGGUGAAACUCAAAGGAAUUGACGGGGGCCCGCA
rnacentral:rRNA from 1 species